rnacentral:rRNA from 1 species
ACGCUGGCGGCGUGCCUAACACAUGCAAGUCGAACGGAACUUCUUUAAAGGAUUUCUUCGGAAUUGAAUUUGAUUAAGUUUAGUGGCGGACGGGUGAGUAACGCGUGAGUAACCUGCCUCUAAGAGGGGAAUAACAUUCUGAAAAGAAUGCUAAUACCGCAUAAUAUAUAUUUAUCGCAUGGUAGAUAUAUCAAAGAUUUAUCGCUUAGAGAUGGACUCGCGUCCGAUUAGUUAGUUGGGUGAGGGUAAACGGCUCACCAAGACCGCGAUCGGUAGCCGGACUGAGAGGUUGAACGGCCACAUUGGGACUGAGACACGGCCCAGACUCCUACGGGAGGCAGCAGUGGGGGAUAUUGCGCAAUGGGGAAACCCUGACGCAGCAACGCCGCGUGAAGGAUGAAGGUCUUCGGAUUGUAAACUUCUUUUAUUAAGGACGAAGAAAGUGACGGUACUUAAUGAAUAAGCUCCGGCUAACUACGUG